UUGGCUUAACCAUGCAGUCGAACGAGAAGUUCACCUUCGGGUGGAUGGACAGUGGCGAACGGGUGAGUAACACGUAGGUAAUCUGCCCUCGAGCGGGGGAUAAUUCCGGGAAACCGGUUGUAAUACCGCAUAACAUCUCGGUGGGACAUCCCACUGAGAUCAAAGGCUUCGGCCACUUGAGGAUGAGCCUGCGUCCCAUUAGCUAGUUGGUGAGGUAAUAGCUAACCAAGGCGACGAUGGGUAGCUGGUCUGAGAGGACGAUCAGCCACACUGGGACUGAGAUACGGCCCAGACUCCUACGGGAGGCAGCAGUGGGGAAUAUUGCGCAAUGGACGAAAGUCUGACGCAGCAACGCCGCGUGGGCGAUGAAGCUCUUUUGAGUGUAAAGCCCUGUUAGGAGGGACGAACAAUCCGCCAUCCGGUGGACUUGACGGUACCUCCAGAGAAAGCUCCGGCUAACUCCGUGCCAGCAGCCGCGGUAAUACGGGGGGAGCAAGCGUUGUCCGGAUUUAUUGGG
rnacentral:rRNA from 1 species